rnacentral:lncRNA from 1 species
CUAAGAAACAAUAUAUUUUUUUAGCCACACCUAUCAGUCAUUGAGAUAUAUAUGAAUAAUUAUAUGUUCGUGGAUUUCAUUGUUUUUUUUUAGCUCGCCAUGACUCUGAGCAUGUCUCCGGCUGCGGUGUGCCAGUGCUUUACGCUGGUGUCACUGUGCACAUCCAUCGCCGACCCAAACUGGAUCCAAGUCAUCAACAACACUGACCCCGGAGGCAAACAGCUCAUCUAUGGUGUGGCUUUCAUACUGCAUGCGCCCCAGAACCUCACUGACACAGGUCCCCUGGGUGGCAUAAAUGGCUGGGGGGUGUGGCUGCUCUAUGCCCUGGCGGCUCUGUGCUACAGUGCUGUCCUGCUCUCCAGCUCCUCCUUCCUAUUGGACUUCCUGGGGACUGGGAUGUCCCACCCUCGACUGGUGGUGUUACUCCACAUCUCCACAGUGGUUCUCCUCCUGUCUGUUCUGGGAGUUUGUGGGGCCUGCCUGUACAUCAUCCACUGCAACCUUCAGGAGGGCAAGUUUGGGCCACUGUGGGAAUGGGUAGGGGGCUGGACCUGGCCUGGGUCUGGCUCCAGGAGCCAGGGAGGGGCGGCGGGGAUGAAGCCUUACCCAGGGGAGAGCUUCUACAUCACCAUGCUGGGCCUGCUCUUCUCCUGCCUGGCCGGUGUGAGCAGCCUGGGGGACCCCACCUCCACCCAGAGGGACUACACAGCUGUGGUGGAGUGGGACGACAGUGACACAGAGCCCCUUACCCCCAGGGAGCAGGGAGUGGGACAGUCUGAUGAAGAGGAGGGGGUAGGAGACGUGUUGCCUGAACUGACUCAGGGGGAGAACAGAAGUGUCCAGUCCAGUUACUCUCAUUCCCACUCAUCUGCUGUAUGUGUUGGUGUCCGUCAUCUCUGCCUCCUAUAGGUUAAUUU